rnacentral:misc_RNA from 1 species
GAAUCGGAUUAGAAUCAAUUGAAUUUUUAUUGUUUCAUUCCAGAAUGUGAAGACGCAAUAGAGUAGAAAUAAUCAGGUACGUUCUUCCAUCUUCCAUUAUGCGCAUCUGAGCUCUAAACACAGCAAUAAUACAAAGUUUAUCUGAGUUUAGCUAAUUUUCAUUUUAUAAAUACACCUUUCUUUCCCCUUCACUUUGCCCUCAUUCCUUGCUAUUAUAUUAACAAGUCCAUUGCAAUUAUCCCUUCCCCCACACUCAUAGCUCAUCAUCAAGAAUGGUGGACAGCAACACUCCCUGCACAAACUUGCACCUCUGAGACUUCUCCUCUUGGUCCUUGUCUGAC